GCUAUAUCUGCUUUAUAUAGUAUAAAAUAUUUCCCCAUGUCUGUCUCUUGAAUUUUACCUUUGUUUAUUUUUGUUCAUUUUUCUAACAACUUAUUCAAAUCUUCCCAUUGAUUUGUAAUGACUUUUUCUAUCUUAAGGAUAGCUAUCUUUGUCAUAAAUCUUGCAAAUAUUUUUGUUGCCCUUUUUUUCUUGAACUUUGUUGAUUUAGAGAUUUUAUGUUUAUUUAAACACAUAUACCUUUGUACUUCAUAAGUCUUUAGAAAGAUUUUCCCCACCCUGAGAUGAGCGAUUCCCCAAUAUUUUCUUCAAGUUUUUCUUAGCUAUGAUUUUUUAAUCCAUCUGGAAUUUAUUCUGUUGUGUGGUAUGCCAUAGGAAUCUCACUUUUUUUUCCAAAAUAUUCUUGGCCAAAUUUCUCAAUAUCUUUCAUCAGAUUAGUCAUCCUUUCCUCUCUGGUUUGGAAUCCUGACUUACUCAUACACUUAAUUUUUAUUUGGACUUAAAAGAGGUAAAAAUGAUUAUUAUCAGCAACCUUGACUUCAUUUGCGGGGGAGAGAUGAAUCAUUAUUUGUUUUGGAUGGGAGAGGGGAGUGUGGUGUGGGAUGAAAUCAGGGGCAGGCAGUUAAAAUAAUCAUGGAAUUUGUUGUGAAAAAGGAAAGUCUGAGGAAGGAAUGGCAAAAGAGAAAACUACUGAGUCAUAGAAGAAACGCAUUAUCAGAAAAUGAAAGAAAGACAGACUUAGAAAUUGCCAAAGGGAAGGAAUAUUUGGGAGAGUCUUUGAAAAACGAUGAUGCAAACAGAAUUAAGUCCGUUCUACUGGGCUCCCCGCUGAAGAGCUGAAGAGGAAAGGGCCAGGUCAGUUCGCCUUACUGGACAGCCCGAGUGGCUGUCACAAAGCCUGGCAUACAAGAAGUCGGUGAGGGUGACACAUGGACAAAAGUCAUCAGCUCAUACAUUAGACAAUGAACCUGGAACAGUCCAAAGACUGUUUCCCAAGGGGAAAGGAAUGGUCUAAAUCCUCCCGCUAUGAGGCAGCAGAGAAGGAAGAAGGGAGAGGCCUCCACCUUCCUAGAUCUCAAGGAAUGGGAAAGAUAAAUGGUUCAAUCCUAGCAGGAGCCAAAACGGAGAAGAUGAAGAAAAAUGGAAACUUCUACUUGUCCAGGGCUUCUGGCCAAGUGAUCUCCCAGUGUGGCCUGAAGCUUGCGCGCCCCCCCGGCGGGACCUGAGGUUUCCCGGGCCGGCGGGCUCCAUUCCUGUGGGCUGCAGCGCCAUCUAGCAGAUGUGAGGGCGAAAUGGCACCGUCACCACUGGCGCAGUCCUGGAGUCCUUCAGCAGACAAGGACCCGCACGGCCAGCACCACGCUUAAGUGUAGAGGUCACUGUGGUGAACUAAAGUCUCUGCCCUUGAGAAGCUGCUGGUCCAUCUGGGCAGACAAUCACAGGCUCUAGAGCGGAGACCCGCGCAAGUGUUCGGGAAACAGAGAGGAGCCAGGCUGACCACACCUGCAGUUCAGGGAAGUCUACACGGAUAUCGUGCUACUUAAAUCAGCUCUUCAAAACUGAGUAAUUACCAAAGAUGAGUCCAGCAGUAGAGGAGAGAAGGAACUUCCAGGCAGUGGGAUGGGAGGCUCAAAAGCCCAGAGGUGGGAAAGAACAUAGUGCGUUCAGGGAAGGUUGGAACGUCCAGAUCACAGGCUGAGGGCAACCUUACAGACCAUCUAGUUUAGCCUACUCAUGGUAUGAAUGAAGAUAUUGAGAUCAGAGCACGAAGGGGACCUUGUGCAGGUUCACAUCUCAACCUACGAGUGUCCACACCAGAGCCCAUGCCUCCUGACUCUCAGUCCCGUGCUCAAUCCCACCAAACCAUGGACAGGCAGGGUCAGCCUCCCUGCAGCCAGGCAGGGUCACCCAACAUUCACCUGGCAGGGUGCCUGAAUAAGGCUGUGCACCUAGAUGUUAGACCUUGAACUCCAAUAGAAGACACACUUGUACUCAAGACCCACCUGCACCAGUCACUCCCGCACUUCUGUCACGUUUCCGAGUUCCCAUUCCUAUCUGUAGGUGAGCUAACAGCCCGCACCUCAUUCGGUGGUUGUGAGAGUGGAAAGCGUGAACCCGCGUUGAAUGCUUGGCUUGAUGCCCACACAUGCUAAAGGUUCGAUAACUAGAUGGUAAACACAAUUUUAAUAUUGUCACUUUUUAUUGUAAUAUCACUGGCAUUUUUCUUAGUCAAAAGUAUUAUUAUUAAUUGAUUAUUUACUGCUUAUUAUUUUUACUAAUUCUUAUUAAGUAUAAAGAACUUACUGAAGGAACUGGGGCUCUUCUACCUGGAGAAGAAGAAACGCAGAAGCCACAGUCUUGUUUUCAAAACCUGAAGGGCUGUGCUGGAGCGAGGGUGUGGAGGUGGCCUGAGGGGCCUCUGGGCCAAGUUGGGCACAAUGAUUGAGAACUGCAGAGAGCAGAUUUUAGUUCAAUGAAAGAAGAACCUUCCUAACCUUCAAAAGGCCGUCAAAGAAAGGUAUUUACUUGCUAUUGGAAAUAUUCAAUCUGAGACCAGAUGACCAUCUGUCCAGGCCGCCUCCUACCUUGCAUAGAGCAGGAAGUCAUCUAGUUCACUGCACUAUCUGAUGCUUUAAGCAUCUAAUUGAGCUCUGCUUUCUAGGGGAAUAUGAUUUGGUAGGUCAUCUGGGAAGACAGCUGUCUAUGUUUAUAAAUUUCAAAGUCAUGAGCAAUGCUCAGAGAAGCCAGGAUCCAAGGCACAUAACCUUGUUUUUCAGAAUCAUUCAUUAGAUUUUAGCUGGAAACGUGAGGAAGAGGCUGAGGUGCUCGCAUCAGACUGGAGACAAGGGGAAUGGGCCAGAGGAACAGAAGGCAGCUCAGCCUUAUCCCCAAGUGCUACCUGGAGGAGAUGUUUUCAUUCCAAGAUGUGAAGGGCUGUCACAAUCCUGGUAACCAUACAGGGUGCAGAGGUGCUGUCUUAAAAUAGUUAAAUAACAGAGCACAUCAAAUGCUCACUAUUCCAAGAAUUAUGCAGGGUCUGCUAUAUGCAAAACACUUGGAAUAUAAAAGUAAAUUUAAAAACCAGAGUCCAGAUAAAGCUGAGAGCAGUAUAGUUUAAGAGGGGCAAUAAGACGUAGGUGCAAAACAACUAUAACUCAAGGCAGAAAAGGCGUGGUGAUGUAAGAGUCACAUGAGGUGGGAUGGCUCCCACAAGAGACACUGGAAGAAGGCUUCAUAGAGGAAGUGACAUUCGAGCUGGGCCAUUCAUAUUGUAACACAGAAGAUUCGGACCCCAAAUGAUGGAAAGGCAGAGCAUCUCAGGGGAAACAGUGGUGUGGGCAAAAUCGUGGAAUCCUAAAAACACAGGCUGGGGGAGUAGGGAAGUGGGGGUGAAUAGUGCCCCACGGUGGCUGGAGCACAGGGGUGUGGAGGGGCGGGCAGGAUAUAAGAUCAGAGAAGCCAUUAAUCAUCUAGCAGUUCCAUUCUAGGUAUAGUCACAAGAGAACAGAAAA